UACGGAGGAUCCAAGCGUUAUCCGGAUUUAUUGGGUUUAAAGGGUGCGUAGGCGGAUUGAUAAGUUAGAGGUGAAAUGUCCGAGCUCAACUCGGGAACUGCCUCUAACACUGUUGAUCUAGAGAGUAGAUGCGGUAGGCGGAAUGUAUGGUGUAGCGGUGAAAUGCUUAGAGAUCAUACAGAACACCGAUUGCGAAGGCAGCUUACCAAUCUAUAUCUGACGUUGAGGCACGAAAGCGUGGGGAGCAAACAGG
rnacentral:rRNA from 1 species